AUGUGGAUGUUUCACUUUAGGCAAAAACACUUGGAGUCGCACAGUGCGCACUUUUUUCCCUCUCCGUCUGCCUCUACCCCCUCCACUCUCCAUCCUUCGGUUCCUUCUGUAAGCAUGCUAUGAUCUUCAUCCACUCUGUGCCCAAACCGAGAGCUUGAAGGACCCCCAGUCUCUCUUUCUCUUUUAUGACCAACCCUCUUUCAUCUAGGCAGGCGUUUGUUCGCUGGAUUUUACAAGAGCCUGUUUAAUUACAUAUAUAUAUUUUAAACACAGUCUAUGAGCGUCGGGGCUGCUGAGACUGAAGAGAAUCGAGGAAACCUACCACAGGUGAAAGGAGCUUUUACGACGCUGCGGUACAGAUGAUUGAACACUUUAGCAGUAACUCAGCGCAAUCUCCCCGCUUACUCUGACUGAAACGGGGCGGAAAUUGAGGCUAAAACACUUUGGAACAACUAAAAAGGGACCAAGUUGUGAUUCCGAGCGAAUCAAAAACCCGCUGCGUUGUUUCCCCAACUGGGCUUUCUGUGGAAGAUGUGACCUUUUCUGUUGCGCCCCGUGGAGCAAAUCACUGCUUUUUUUCUUUUGUUAUUGGUUCUUUUUUGGUUUUUUUCUUUUGUUUUUUCCACCCCCUAAUCAGUUACUCGAGCUUGACAUGUCUUUUUGUGGGAUUACACGCGGAGAUAUGAUCACUGUCAGAGACCGAGCUGGAUUGUGAAUUUACUGUCAGUGCUUUUUUUUCUUCUUUAUUUUUUCUUUAUUUCUUCUUCCUUUUUUAAAACUUGUCUCCAUAACGAAGGAAGUGCUCUAGCUGUUUUCUUCAAUGGCUUCAGUGUCAAGGUUGGCAAGACGCAAAGAUGCCAGUCGCUGGCCGAGAAUGUCGUCAAGUUUCUGGGCUGUGCUGCUCCUGACAGCGCUGCUGCUUCUCUAUUGCGGCCAGCUGGCAGCGGGGACAUGUGAGAUUGUGACGCUGGACAGGGACAGCAGCCAACCACGGCGGACCAUCGCCAGGCAGACGGCCCGCUGCGCCUGUAAGAAGGGCCAGAUCGCUGGAACUACAAGAGCUAGACCCGCCUGUGUGGAUGCUGGUAUUGUUCGGAAAAAGCAAUGGUGUGAGAUGGUGCCGUGUUUGGAGGACGAGGGUUGCGACCUGUUAGUCAAUAGAUCUGGCUGGACUUGUACGCAGCCCGGAGGCCGAGUUAAAACCACUACGCUUCCAACAUUUCCAAGUGGCCAAAAGUGGGAACUGAUUCCAUAAAGCGCAGCGUGAUAGCUGGCUUAUGUUUGCACUCCAAGCAGUUUCAAGUCCCAAGAGGUGCAGGUGUAUUCCGACAUGAAGGAAACAACAAACACACCCAUGCAAGGACAAAACAUGGGCACACUCACACCCAAGUCAAGUAUCGUGUAUUACCUCUGAUCUCAGAAAAACAUGUUUCUCCUUUUCAAACAGUGAAAGAGAAACUUAUUCAUGUUUUCAGCCUUGAGGCAUUUACCAAAUAAGGCUGUGGGGGAAUUUUGUUCUUUUUUAAACUGUCAAGAUAAGCAGUGUUUGCUGGAGAUUGAUACUAAUUACUGUACAGUAAUUACUGAAAGUAGUGUAAGCUUCAUCAGUCCUCUCAGAGAGAUAUUACCUGUGAAAGCUUUAACCUGCUUGAACGACCAAUACGUUCUUAACUAAGGGUGCUAUGAUAUACCUGCUGGUUAAUUAAAUUCUGUUAAUUGUGGAACCUGCCAGGUGAGCUGUCACAAUCUUGGUAUCUUAAAACUGGACAUGACAAGCUGAAAUGGUGUUAUUUUCAAUAAAAUUUGCAACUAAUUCCAUGAAUUUAUCAGACAAAUGUUUAAUGAGGUUGCAGAUCAAGUAAGCCGAUAGCUUUUUUGCUAACAGUACAAGAAAAAAUUGAAACGUGGCCCCCUGCUGCCCAUUAGAAAUGAUGCAGAUUUAGGUUUUCAGGGCCAAGCAGUACAUCCAUUGUUAACAUAUGUCAUGCCAGAGGCCCUGGCAACUCAGAGAAAUGCACAAUCUUGCAAUCAGCAUUUGAUCCUGUCUUCCUCCCCUCACCCCCUGAUAGAUGGCUGCACCUCCCUGAGCCUGGUUCUGUUGGACGUUUCUUCCUGGCUCUAUGACGUGACAAGAGUCCCCCUCGACACUCUUGCACUAUGGAAAGCAUUGAUGACCCCUUGACAGACAUCCAAUUUCCAGCUACCACCACCACCACCAUUACAACAGCUCCACCCUUACCUUGGCCUCAAAGGCAGGAAGCAACACAAGCAGCUACAGAGCACCAAGAGCCUUGUGGAGGCAGUAAGGUCUCGUAACACAGCCAGAGACGGGAAAACCAGGGAGUGAUUGUUUGAGAGAGUCAUCUCUCCCUGUGACACUGGACAAACUUGCUAUAAAACACUUCCUGUUUCCUGUGACUAGCCACCGCGGGUUUCUGACUGCUCCCUCCUGCUAUCUGUCGUUGGGUCAACACGUUGUAUCCACCUCCUCUCCACUGUUAUCUGCCUGCUCUGUGAAUUUAGCAGCACAUGCUCAUGCCACGGAGGUUGGGACACCUUAAAAUCCCAUGAAUGGUUUCUUUUUUUUUGCCUCACUGGAAGUCCACUGUUUGGAGCUGCUAACUGCUUUUAAUAUGGGAUUUCCCACAUCUCUCUCCUAGACUCUAGUGCAGGAGUUCCAGGGCGAAGACGGGGUCAUUACAGAACACAACGUGACGCUUCUCGGACCAGCUCGCGAGGCCGUAAAAACCGAACCGAGCGCACUCUGCUGUGAAUAGGCCUUCUGCUGGAGUAAACCUCCCAUAUUUUUAUAGACCAAAGAGCAAAACAACAAAUAUGAUCAUUAUGACAGAGAGGACCAUCUGGCAAAGACACACGGAAACGUUGUUAACAUGCUUUGAGUGUCGCCACCGACCAACGACUGCCCCCACAGAGACUCAGUGCACAAACAAACCUUUGCAGCCGGCGGCGUGUGUGCCGAACACAGUCAAAGGAGUACUUUUCAAACUUUACGGACAUUUUUUCGCAGACUAAGCUCACCACUGUAUUUUGGAACUGGAGAUAUAGGUACUACAUACGUAUAACUGUGUAUCAAAAAAAAAAAAAAAAAACAACAAAAAAAACCAGAAAAAAAAAUCUGAUUUGCAUUUUUCAGUAGCUACAGUUGGGACAGCUUACAGGAAGAAUUGUCGUGUUGAUCAUGGAUACGGAGUGCAAAUCAUUACCAGAGAAAUGAUAACUAUCUACAGAGAGUAUUAAAUGCUGUUAAGUCUGAAAAGAAGGCGUAAAGAAAAGUCAUUAAAUGUAUUUUGAAAGGCCCUAAAAAGUUAUAUAUUUAACAGUUUUAUAUGUUGUACCUUUGUAGAGAAGCUUAUUGGACUUAAAAUGUGAUCACAAUGGCAGUUUAGUAGGAUGUGAACAAAUGCUGUUGUUCUCAUUACUGCUGGCUCGUAGUCCCAGGUUUUCUGUUCACACCUCAGUAGCCGCUUUCUUUUCAUGGUCAUCUACAAGUCACUGUCUAUCCGAACCAUUAAUGAAAAAAAAAGGAAAGUGACACAAUUUAUUAAGGACUGAUGUGCAGCCAACUGAACAUUGUAAAUCUAUGGUAGUCAGUGGAAGCCAUUGAAAUCUGCUAAUUUGCUAUGAUAUUGUAUUGUACACGGUGUGGAAUACUGACUCAUUUCCUCUCUAUGGGUUCUGAUCUCUUAAUUUAUUUUUGUGCCUGUGUUUCUUUUUUUUGUUUGUUUGUUUUUUUUUUUUUCUUUCUUUCUUUUUUUGUUUGCACAAAUCCAGCUUCUCUCCAAUGGCGAUGAAUACGGUGAGGAGAGACAGAAAGAGGAAGCACUGCAGGAGUAUCGGUCAUUUACAUACAUUUUAUAUCAUGAAAUAUUUUAAGAAUAAAUAUAUGACAAGAAAUGUCCCCUGCAAAUUUAGAUGGUCUUGAUGUUCAAGGUCAUCAGCGAGAACUUUAA